rnacentral:rRNA from 1 species
UACGUAGGGGGCAAGCGUUGUCCGGAUUUAUUGGGCGUAAAGAGCGUGUAGGCGGCCUGACAAGUCUGCUGUGAAAACUCGAGGCUCAACCUCGAGAUGUCGGCGGAAACUGUCUGGCUAGAGUCCGGAAGAGGAGAGUGGAAUUCCCGGUGUAGCGGUGAAAUGCGCAGAUAUCGGGAAGAACACCCGUGGCGAAGGCGGUUCUCUGGGACGGUACUGACGCUGAGACGCGAAAGCGUGGGGAGCGAACAGG